rnacentral:rRNA from 1 species
CUACGGGGCGCUGCAGUGAGGAAUAUUGCACAAUGGGGGGAACCCUGAUGCAGCAACGCCGCGUGGAGGAUGACGCAUUUCGGUGUGUAAACUCCUUUUAUAUGUCAAGAAAAUGACGGUAGCAUAUGAAUAAGCACCGGCUAACUCCGUGCCAGCAGCCGCGGUGGAAUACGGAGGGUGCAAGCGUUACUCGGAAUCACUGGGCGUAAAGGACGCGUAGGCGGGUUGGAAAGUCAGGUGUGAAAUCCUACAGCUUAACUGUAGAACUGCACUUGAAACUUCUAAUCUAGAGUAUGGGAGGGGGAGAUGGAAUUAGUGGUGUAGGGGUAAAAUCCGUAGAUAUCACUAGGAAUACCUAAAGCGAAGGCGAUCUCCUGGAACAUUACUGACGCUAAGGCGUGAAAGCGUGGGGAGCAAACAGGAUUAGAUACCCGCGUAGUC